rnacentral:rRNA from 1 species
GAUGAACGCUGGCGGCGUGCCUAAUACAUGCAAGUCGAGCGAACAGACGAGGAGCUUGCUCCUCUGACGUUAGCGGCGGACGGGUGAGUAACACGUGGAUAACCUACCUAUAAGACUGGGAUAACUUCGGGAAACCGGAGCUAAUACCGGAUAACAUGUUGAACCGCAUGGUUCAACAGUGAAAGACGGUCUUGCUGUCACUUAUAGAUGGAUCCGCGCCGCAUUAGCUAGUUGGUAAGGUAACGGCUUACCAAGGCAACGAUGCGUAGCCGACCUGAGAGGGUGAUCGGCCACACUGGAACUGAGACACGGUCCAGACUCCUACGGGAGGCAGCAGUAGGGAAUCUUCCGCAAUGGGCGAAAGCCUGACGGAGCAACGCCGCGUGAGUGAAGAAGGUCUUCGGAUCGUAAAACUCUGUUAUUAGGGAAGAACAAAUGUGUAAGUAACUAUGCUCGUCUUGACGGUACCUAAUCAGAAAGCCACGGCUAACUACGUG